AUCAUUGUCCUUUAUGAUAGGGUGAUACUGAUCACAUGCAUAUAAACUGAUUCAAAAUGAAAAUUGGACCAUAUUGAUGCAAGACUUCGCACACUACACUGCACAAAUGGACAAUGACAUAGGUUGAGAACGGAGAAAUGCUAGGACGAUAGUGGUAAGGUAGGAGCUCAUCAGCCACAUUUGGAAUUGGUGUGGACGAAUUCAUAACCAAAAACGUCCUCUUGGGACCACACUGACUAGUGACAAACGUUGAUGCUCAUUCUUCUUGAAUGGUUUGGGAUGAUGACUCCUCUAUAAAUGGGGAGGGUGGUGUACCUGCAAACACUCUAACGAUCAAGUCAAUCAAAUGUAAUGAAUGUGAUGGUUUUAAGAUUUAAAUAUUGUGUACCCUCGACUUGAUUAAUAAGUUAGCAUAUCUAGGAGGAAGAUUAGGCCUGGUUUGUAUGACAAAAGAUGGAUAUAACUAUGUUGGAUGACGUAUGUAGACAAAUCAUGAUUUGUAAUAAGUUAGUGACCUAAAGGAGCAGUUUUUUUUUCUUCUACGCCAGUUUUGACUUGUCCCAGUUCAGAACAACAAUUCACAUUCCUUUAACUUUGGUUUUAGUAAUCGUACUAUAAGAUAUAAUGUGAAAAUGACUCAAAACUUGACCCAUUUAAGAAUUCACUCGUUUGAGCACGUUUUGAGUAUAACAAAUAUUUUAAGAUAAUCUAAAAUCUCGGACGUGAGAGAUCUAUAAGAGCAAACAUUGAAUAUUGAGAACGUGGAGAUCUUAUAACAAUGUAUUAAAUUUAAAUUAAUUCAGUUGAAUUACCUAAUAAGAAUGAAUAGAGCAACAUUGUGAUAUAUUGAAAUCAGCAUACUAUAUGAUAUUUCCUUGAAG
rnacentral:lncRNA from 1 species